GGAAAUGUGAUAGCUCAGUGGUAGAACAUCUGCUUUGCAUGCAUAAGAGCAUGGGUUUAAUUUCCAGGCAUCUGCA